rnacentral:rRNA from 1 species
AAGGGACAUCAGUACAGGUGGUGCAUGGCUGUCGUCAGCUCGUGUCGUGAGAUGUUGGGUUAAAGUCCCGCAACGAGCGCAACCCUUAUUCUUAGUUGUUUCCCCUUUGGGAUUACCCUCUAAGAAGACUGCCUCGGAUAACGGGGAGGAAGUGGGGAUGACGUCAAGUCCGCAUGCUCCUUACGUCUAGGGCUACACACGUCCUACAAUGGGGGUCGACAAUGGGAUGCAAUAUCGCAAGAUGGAGCCAAUCCCCAAACGGCCUCUCAGUUCGGAUUGUAGUCUGCAACUCGACUACAUGAAGUUGGAAUCGCUAGUAAUGGCAGAUCAGCAUGCUGCCGUGAAUACGUUCCCGGGUCUU